CUCUCCGGUGGGAUAAUCUUCCUGUGUUUGUCCCUUCACAGGGCAGAUAGGGGAUGAUGGCUGGAGCCCCAGUGAUGUGGAUUGACAUCUCUGCAGAAUGGAGAGGCAACCCUGACCCCUCCCACCUGAA
rnacentral:snoRNA from 1 species